ensembl:lncRNA
CCUCCUUAUGAGGCCAGACCGUACGUACUUGCCUCAGCCAAUAGUAUAUGACGAUCAUCACCCAGUGCCCAAUCACUGCACCAUAUACUGCCAUGUUCCAGAAGGAGUUGCAUGUGGUUCCAGAGGGAGUUGCAUGUGGUUCAAGAGUGAGUUUUAUGUGGUUCCAGAGUGAGUUUUAUGUGGUUUCAGAGUGAGUUGCAUGUGGUUUCAGAGUGAGUUGCAUGUGGUUUCAGAGUGAGUUUUAUGUGGUUUCAGAGUGAGUUUUAUGUGGUUUCAGAGUGAGUUGCAUGUGGUUUCAGAGUGAGUUUUAUGUGGUUUCAGAGUGAGUUUUAUGUGGUUUCAGAGUGAGUUUUAUGUGGUUCCAGAGUGAGUUUUAUGUGGUUCCAGAGUGAGUUUUAUGUGGUUUCAGAGUGAGAUGCAUGUGGUUCCAGAGUGAGUUUUAUGUGGUUCCAGAGUGAGUUGCAUGUGGUUUCAGAGUGAGUUGCAUGUGGUUUCAGAGUGAGUUGCAUGUGGUUUCAGAGUGAGUUGCAUGUGGUUUCAGAGUGAGUUGCAUGUGGUUUCAGAGUGAGUUUUAUGUGGUUUCAGAGUGAGUUUUAUGUGGUUUCAGAGUGAGUUUUAUGUGGUUCAAGAGUGAGUUUUAUGUGGUUUCAGAGGGAGUUGCAUGUGGUUCAAGAGUGAGUUUUAUGUGGUUUCAGAGUGAGUUCCAUGUGGUUUCAGAGUGAGUUGCAUGUGGUUU